ensembl:miRNA
UAAGUGUUAACUUAAGGACUGUCUUUUCUAAGCCUUGCCUUUCCUUUGGCACAGGCUUAGAAAAGACAGUCCUUAAGUUUACACUUC